UGUGCCAAGCAGCCGCGGUAAUUCCAGCUCCAAUAGCGUAUAUUAAAGUUGUUGCGGUUAAAAAGCUCGUAGUUGGAUCUCGGCGGGCAGGGGGUGGUUCGCUCUUCAGCGCUACUGCCCCGCUUUGCCCGUGUGAUUGGCGGAGGUUUCGGGGUGCUCUUCGUUGAGUGACUCGGAGCGCCGUCAGGUUUACUUUGAAAAAAUUAGAGUGCUCAAAGCAGGCUUUUCACGCUUGAAUAUUCGUGCAUGGAAUAAUGGAAUAGGAACUCGUUUCUAUUUUGUUGGUUUUCGGAAAUCGAGUUAAUGAUUAACAGGGACAAUUGGGGGCAUUAGUAUUCAGACGACAGAGGUGAAAUUCUUGGACCGUCUGAAGACUGACUACUGCGAAAGCAUUUGCCAAGAGUGUUUUCAUUAAUCAAGAACGAAAGUUAGAGGUUCGAAGGCGAUCAGAUACCGCCCUAGUUCUAACCAUAAACGAUGCCAGCUAGCGAUCUGCCGAGUUUUUUUUGUAGGCUCCGCAGGAAGCUUUCGGGAAACCAAAGCUUUUGGGUUCCGGGGGAAGUAUGGUUGCAAAGCUGAAACUUAAAGGAAUUGACGGAAGGGCACCACCAGGAGUGGAGCCUGCGGCUUAAUUUGACUCAACACGGGAAAUCUCACCAGGCCCGGACACUGGAAGGAUUGACAGAUUGAGAGCUCUUUCUCGAUUCGGUGGGUGGUGGUGCAUGGCCGUUCUUAGUUGGUGGAGUGAUUUGUCUGGUUAAUUCCGAUAACGAACGAGACUCUGUCCUGCUAAAUAGUUGGGUCGUCCUUCGUGCGAUCCAAGUUCUUCUUAGAGGGACUGGCUGCGUCUAGCAGCACGAGAUUGAGCAAUAACAGGUCUGUGAUG
rnacentral:rRNA from 1 species